rnacentral:rRNA from 1 species
GUAGGGAAUAUUGGGCAAUGGAUGCAAGUCUGACCCAGCCAUCCCGCGUGCCGGAAGAAGGCCCUCAGGGUUGUAAACGGCUUUUGACGGUGAAGAACCGACAGGAUGCGUCCUGUUUUGACGGUAGCCGUUGAAUAAGCACCGGCUAACUCCGUGCCAGCAGCCGCGGUAAUACGGAGGGUGCGAGCGUUGUCCGGAUUUAUUGGGUUUAAAGGGUGCGUAGGCUGGAAGGUCAGUCAGCGGUGAAAAGCUAUCGCUUAACGAUAGUCUUGGCGCAGAUACUUCCUUUCUUGGAUGAGGUGGAGGCCACUGGAACGGAUGGUGUAGCGGUGAAAUGCAUAGAUAUCAUCCAGAACACCGAUUGCGAAGGCAGGUGGCUGUACCUUAAUCGACGCUGAUGCACGAAAGCAUGGGGAGCAAACAGGAUUAGAAACCCGAGUAGUCC